rnacentral:rRNA from 1 species
UACGUAGGGGGCAAGCGUUGUCCGGAUUUAUUGGGCGUAAAGAGCGUGUAGGCGGCCAGGUAGGUCCGUUGUGAAAACUCGAGGCUCAACCUCGAGACGUCGAUGGAAACCAUCUGGCUAGAGUCCGGAAGAGGAGACUGGAAUUCAUGGUGUAGCAGUGAAAUGCGUAGAGAUCAUGAGGAAGACCAGUGGCGAAGGCGGGUCUCUGGACAGUUCCUGACACUGAGGCACGAAGGCCAGGGGAGCAAACGGG